AGAGUUUGAUCAUGGCUCAGAUUGAACGCUGGCGGAAUGCUUUACACAUGCAAGUCGAACGGUAGAGGGGGCAACCCCUUGAGAGUGGCGAACGGGUGAGUAAUAUAUCGGAACGUGCCCAGUCGUGGGGGAUAACGUAGUGAAAAUUACGCUAAUACCGCAUACGAUCUAAGGAUGAAAGCGGGGGACUCGCAAGAGCCUCGCGCGACUGGAGCGGCCGAUAUCAGAUUAGGUAGUUGGUGGGGUAAAGGCUCACCAAGCCAACGAUCUGUAGCUGGUCUGAGAGGACGACCAGCCACACUGGAACUGAGACACGGUCCAGACUCCUACGGGAGGCAGCAGUGGGGAAUUUUGGACAAUGGACGCAAGUCUGAUCCAGCCAUUCCGCGUGCAGGAUGAAGGCCCUCGGGUUGUAAACUGCUUUUGUACGGAACGAAAAGGUCUCUCCUAAUACGAGAGGCUCAUGACGGUACCGUAAGAAUAAGCACCGGCUAACUACGUGCCACAGCCGCGGUAAUACGUAGGGUGCAAGCGUUAAUCGGAAUUACUGGGCGUAAAGCGUGCGCAGGCGGUUAUAUAAGACAGAUGUGAAAUCCCCGGGCUCAACUUGGGAACUGCAUCUGUGACUGUAUAGCUU
rnacentral:rRNA from 1 species